rnacentral:rRNA from 1 species
UACGAAGGGGCUAGCGUUGUUCGGAAUCACUGGGCGUAAAGCGCACGUAGGCGGAUCUUUAAGUCAGAGGUGAAAUCCCAAGGCUCAACCUUGGAACUGCCUUUGAUACUGGGGAUCUUGAGUCCGGGAGAGGUGAGUGGAACUGCGAGUGUAGAGGUGAAAUUCGUAGAUAUUCGCAAGAACACCAGUGGCGAAGGCGGCUCACUGGCCCGGUACUGACGCUGAGGUGCGAAAGCGUGGGGAGCAAACAGG